GGAGUUCGAUCCUGGAUCAAGAUAAACACUGGCGGCAUGCUUAACACAUGAAAGUCGGAUGAAAAACAUGGGAAACAGUGUUUCCAAUGGAAGACGGGUGAGUAAAGCGUAAAAACCUGCCCUUGGGAGGGGAACGACUGCUAAUACCUCGUAGACUGAGGAGCAAAAGGAGGAAUCCACCAGAGGAGGGGCUCGCAUCUGAUUUGCUAGUUGGUGAGGCAAUAGCUUACCAAGGCGAUGAUCAGUAGCUGGUCCGAGAGGAUGAUCAGCCACACUGGGACUGAGACACGGCCCAGACUCUUACUGGAGGCAGUAGUGGGGAAUUUUCUGCAAUGGGCAAAAGCCUAAUGGAUCAAUGCCGCAUGAAGGUAGAUGGCCCAUGAGUUGUGAACUUCUUUUCCUGGAGAAGAAGCAAUGACGGUAUCUGAGGAAUAAGCAUUGACUAACUCUAUACCAGCAGCCCCGGUAAUAUAGAGGAUGCAAGCGUUAUCCGAAAUGAUUAGGCAUAAAGUGUCUGUAGGCGGCUUUUUAAGUCUGCCGUCAAAUCCCAGGUCUUAACCCUGGAUAGGCAGUGGAAACUACCAAGCUGGAGUAUGGUAGGGUCAAAGGGAAUUUCUGGUGGAGCGGUGAAAUGCGUAGAGAUCGGAAAGAACACCAACGGUGAAAGCACUUUGCUGGGUCGACACUGGCACUAAGAGAUGAAAGAUAGGGGAGCGAAUGGGAUUAGAUGCCCCAGUAGUCCUAGCCAUAAAUGAUGGAUACUAGGCACUAUGUGUAUCGACCCGUGCAGUGCUAUAGCUAAUGUGUUAAGUAUCCCGCUUGGGGAUUACGUUCAUAAGAAUGAAACUCAAAGGAAUCGAUGGGGGCCCGCACAAACAGUGGAGCAUGUGGUUUAAUUUGAUGCAAAGAGAAGAACCUUACCAGGGCUUGACAUGCCGUGAAUCCUCUUGAAAGAUAGGGGUGCCUUUAGGAACACGGACACAGGUGGUGUAUGGUUGUCGUCAGCUCAUGCCGUAAGGUGUUGGGUUAAGUCCCGCAAUAAGAGAAACCCUCGUGUUUAGUUGCCAUCGUUGAGUUUGGAACUCUGAAAAGACUUUCGGUGAUAAGCUGAAGAAAGGUAAGGAUGAGGUCAAGGCAUCAUGGCCCAUAUGCCCUGGGCGACACACGUGCUACAAUAGCCAGGACCAAGGGUCGCGAUCCCACGAGGGUGAGCUAACCCCAAAAACCCAUCCUCAGUUCAGAUUGCAGGCUGCAACUCACCUGCAUGAAGCCGAAAUUGCUAGUAAUUGCCGGUCAGCCAUAUGGCGCUGAAUUCGUUAUCGGGCCUUGUACACACUGCCCGUCACACUAUGGGAGCUGGCCAUGCCCGAAGUCGUUACCUNCAUCAACUAUUGAUGAAAUAAAUAUGUAUUAUGAUUGUUGUUACAUAUCACCAAUCGCUUUUGCUAAAACUCGAGCAG
rnacentral:rRNA from 1 species